rnacentral:rRNA from 1 species
AUUGAACGCUGGCGGCAUGCUUUACACAUGCAAGUCGAACGGUAACAGGCCUUCGGGUGCUGACGAGUGGCGAACGGGUGAGUAAUGCAUCGGAACGUGCCCAGAGGUGGGGGAUAACGCAGCGAAAGCUGUGCUAAUACCGCAUGUGAUCUGAGGAUGAAAGCGGGGGACCAGGCAGCAAUGUUUGGCCUCGCGCCUUUGGAGCGGCCGAUGUCAGAUUAGGUAGUUGGUGGGGUAAAGGCCUACCAAGCCGACGAUCUGUAGCUGGUCUGAGAGGACGACCAGCCACACUGGGACUGAGACACGGCCCAGACUCCUACGGGAGGCAGCCGUGGGGAAUUUUGGACAAUGGGCGCAAGCCUGAUCCAGCAAUGCCGCGUGCGGGAAGAAGGACUUCGGGUUGUAAACCGCUUUUGUACGGAACGAAAAGGCUCUGGCUAAUACCUGGGGCUGAUGACGGUACCGUAAGAAUAAGCAACGGCUAACUACGUG